AUGUUUUUUUGUAGUCCACAACACUACCUAUUCUUUUGGCUGCAAUGUUCUCAAUUUCUUUCAAAAACUGUUCAUCUAAUACCAUUACAAUUUAGGUUCCAUACUGCUCUGAGUAGUUGCAGUACAAUUGAGCCCCACACGUCUCAUACCAAUAUAGUUUGGGUUCCAUACUUGUUUGAGAGUACUUACAUGUCUCCUUUUCUAUUUAUUUUAUUAGUGUGGUUAGUGUAUAAACAUUUCCUUGGUUGUGAAAUCAGUGAACUACGUUUAACUGCUGCAGAGCCAGGCUCAAAUGUUUUUUUGAGCAUAAAAUGUUCUUUAGUUGUGUUGGAUUUCCUUCCAUACUAUUUUUCGUGUUGA
rnacentral:rRNA from 1 species